UACGUAGGGUGCGAGCGUUGUCCGGAAUUAUUGGGCGUAAAGAGCUUGUAGGCGGUUUGUCGCGUCUGCCGUGAAAUUUCGAGGCUCAACCUCGAACUUGCGGUGGGUACGGGCAGACUAGAGUGUGGUAGGGGAGACUGGAAUUCCUGGUGUAGCGGUGAAAUGCGCAGAUAAUCAGGAGGAACACCGAUGGCGAAGGCAGGUCUCUGGGCCACUACUGACGCUGAGAAGCGAAAGCGUGGGUAGCAAACAGGG
rnacentral:rRNA from 1 species